UGUUUCAUGAUGCCUUAUGUGUAUGAACAGGGAUCCAGGAAAGCUGAGGCAGUUUGUAUUGGACCUGCACUCGGGAAAGUUGCACAGGGAGUUCCAUCAUGGCCCAGACCCCACAGACAGCACUCCAGGACAGCAGGAGGAGAAUAGAGAGGUGGCCAGUAGUCCCCCAGAGAGUUCCUUCCAGAAAUUGGCCCCCAGUGAGACGCGCUACACCAUCCUCAGGGACCGGGACGAGCUGUGAUGUUACAACCGCAUCGAGACCCAACCCAGAACCCAGCAGCCAGCUGGUGCCUACCUGGCACUGCCGCUGCCUGUGCGAUGUCUAUUUUCAUAAUUUUUAUUUUAGAUAAAAAAAGUGAGAAGGUGAACCCCUGAGCCUUUUUGGGGUGGGGAAUGAAGAGAAGUGUUUUUAUUUUUGUUUUUGGAGCUUGUAAAUAUGUUUGUGCUCUGUGGGUCUUGUCUAAAUUAAAAACAUGAUUUUUUUUUUCUUUUAUUUUUAUUUUUAUUUUUUUGGCCUACAUUUUUGUCUACCCAAGUCCCUUUUUUUGUAGAAAAACAUUGGUACAUUGGUGGCCCUCUUUGUUGGGAACGCAAAUUGAGUUUCUUAUGGAUCUUAAGUGCGGGCAAGUGGAAUCAUGGGGAAAAAAAUAACAAACCUGCAGUCAACCCGUGGUGUUUCACUCCAGUCCUCAACAGAGCGUGCCCAGUGUGUGUGUAUGUAUGUAUGUGCGUGUGUGAGUAUGUGCACAUGUACAUUACAUGUGCUUAUUAGUCUGUAUUCGUAUGUACUGUACUGUUCCAGACUUGUUUAAAUUCACGCUCGCUAAGAUCCAGACUCGCUAGUCUCAUAUCAUCCCAUUCCACCAGGUGAGUGGUCAGGGGCAGGGUUAUGUGGGGGUCGGGUUUAGAGGGGUGGGGAUUAUUUGUAAAUCUGUCAUCUCAGAGGGGACAAGGAAACCAAAAAAAGAAAAGUAAAUUAAAAAACAUUUUA